GAACUGCUGAGGAGUCCCAAAAUAGGACGAAACAGCCGUCCCGUGC
rfam:Schistosoma mansoni strain Puerto Rico chromosome 1, complete genome